rnacentral:rRNA from 1 species
GCCAAACAGCUAGCUCAACACUAAUAUAACCCAACAUUAUUAAUAACAAGACAAGACUUUAACACCAUAAACUAAACCAUUUUUUUACCUGAGUAUGGGAGACAGAAAAG